UACGUAGGGUGCAAGCGUUGUCCGGAAUUAUUGGGCGUAAAGAGCUCGUAGGCGGUCUGUCGCGUCUGCUGUGAAAACUCGGGGCUUAACCCCGGGCCUGCAGUGGGUACGGGCAGACUAGAGUGCGGUAGGGGAGACUGGAAUUCCUGGUGUAGCGGUGAAAUGCGCAGAUAUCAGGAGGAACACCGGUGGCGAAGGCGGGUCUCUGGGCCGAUAACUGAC
rnacentral:rRNA from 1 species